AGUGAACGCUGGCGGUAGGCCUAACACAUGCAAGUCGAACGGCAGCACAGUAAGAGCUUGCUCUUACGGGUGGCGAGUGGCGGACGGGUGAGGAAUACAUCGGAAUCUACUUUUUCGUGGGGGAUAAGGUAGGGAAACUUACGCUAAUACCGCAUACGACCUACGGGUGAAAGCAGGGGAUAUUCGGACCUUGCGCGAUUGAAUGAGCCGAUGUCGGAUUAGUUAGUUGGCGGGGUAAAGGCCCACCAAGGCGACGAUCCGUAGCUGGUCUGAGAGGAUGAUCAGCCACACUGGAACUGAGCCACGGUCCAGACUCCUACGGGAGGCAGCAGUGGGGAAUAUUGGACAAUGGGCGCAAGCCUGAUCCAGCCAUACCGCGUGGGUGAAGAAGGCCUUCGGGUUGUAAAGCCCUUUUGUUGGGAAAGAAAAGCAGCAGGUUAAUACCCCGCUGUUCUGACGGUACCCAAAGAAUAAGCACCGGCUAACUUCGUG
rnacentral:rRNA from 1 species